UUACGGCCACAUCACGUCACACACCGGUUCCAGUACUAGUUCAUCAAAGUUAAGCAACAUCGGGCUUGGUCAGUACCAAGAUGGGUGACCGCUUGGGAAUAACAGGUACAGUAA